GUUUUUUUCUAUUUGUAAUGUCAUUUCUAUCGCGGAAAAGUGGUUAUUCUUUUAACAAUUUUAAUUGAAUCGAAUGAAAAAUUCAGAAAGAUUGUCUUUUGAAUAGCAAUACAUUUUAAUAACAGAUAAUCAGGAUAUAAUUAUAUACCCUCCGCACCCGACCCUUUUGUGAGUUAUGUUAAUGUUAUUCAAUAGAAUAUAAGAUUAUCUUAUUAGUUGAUC
rnacentral:lncRNA from 1 species